GAUGAACGCUGGCGGCGUGCCUAAUACAUGCAAGUCGAGCGAACAGACGAGGAGCUUGCUCCUUCGACGUUAGCGGCGGACGGGUGAGUAACACGUAUGUAAUCUACCUAUAAGACUGGGAUAACUUCGGGAAACCGGAGCUUAUACCGGAUAAUAUUUCGCACCGCAUGGUUCGAUAGUGAAAGAUGGCUUUGCUAUCUCUUCUCGAUGGCCUGCGCCGUAUUAGCUAGUUGGUAAGGUAACGGCUUACCAAGGCAACGAUACGUAGCCGACCUGAGAGGGUGAUCGGCCACACUGGAACUGAGACACGGUCCAGACUCCUACGGGAGGCAGCAGUAGGGAAUCUGCCGCAAUGGGCGAAAGCCUGACGGAGCAACGCCGCGUGAGUGAUGAAGGUCUUCGGAGCGUAAAACUCUGUUAUUAGGGAAGAACAAACGUGUAAGUAACUGUGCACGUCUUGACGGUACCGAAUCAGAAAGCCACGGCUAACUACGUG
rnacentral:rRNA from 1 species